rnacentral:lncRNA from 1 species
CGGAGUUCCCCGCUUGGCGCUUGCUUGCGCGUCUUGGAGUACUGGUCGGGUUUCACCCCCAUCAAUAUACAAGGCAUUCUUCUCAAUCAUGAGAUAAGACUAGCAUCGAACAUCGCACCUUUGUGGAGAAAUAAUUCUCAGUAUAUGAAACGACGGCGAUCCGAUUCCGGCGACGAAAGGUCACAGGGGAAGGAUUGCUGGCCGGCGGGAGAAGAAUUGGGGAAAGAAGAAAGCAACGGAAAUUAACGGAUCUUUGAAAAAAUGUAAAAAUAUCAAAGAUUAAAUUGUAUUAUCUUGUAUUUGAGUUUACAACUAUUAUUUAUAAGUUUUGUAAACUACUAAUUCUAUUACAACCCCAAAUAUAUUUUUAUUACAACUAGGUCCAUUAAACGAUUUUAAUUGAAUAAACUCUUCUGGGCCGGUCCAUUAUGCUUUUGGGCUGUAAUCCUUUUAUCCUGUUUCAUUUAAACUUAAAACAAAUAAUACCAAAUGAUUAUUAGUUAAUAUUGAACACCAAAUGAUUAUUUAUAAUUAUAACUAUAAUUAUAAUUAUAAUUUUAUAAUUAAUACUCCCCCCUCAAACUAGGCAUAUAUAUUAAUUAUUCCUAGUUUGAACAGAGUAUUAUUCAUUUCUAUUUCUCCUACUCCUUUUGUGAAGAUAUUUGCCAAUUGAUCUUUAGUUCCAAUUGGCUUUAGAGUGAUUAAUCAUUUUUCUAUUUUUUCUCUUGUGAAGUGACAAUCCCUCUCUAUGUGUUUUGUUCUUUCAUGGAAUACGGGAUUUUCUGCUAUGUGAAUUGCAGAUACAUUAUCACAAAGAAUUAGAGCUGGUUUAUCAUUAUAAAUUCUUAAUUCAUUCAAUAAUUGAUUUAACCAACUUAUUUCACUUGUGAGCUUUGCCAUUGCUCUAUAUUCAGCCUCUGCUGAUGAUUGUGAUACUAGCUCUUGUUUUUUAGAUUUCCAAGAGACCAAUGAGUCUCCUAGAAGUAUGCAAAAGCCAGUCACUGAUCUUCUGGUUAGGGUGCAUGAACCCCAAUCAGCAUCACAGUAACCUCUUAGUAUAAGAGGUUUGUCAUUUCUUAUCAUAAUCCCUUGCCCUGGGGAAUUUUUAAGAUAUCUUAGUAAUUUUAUAACAGCUUCCAUAUGAAGCUCAAUUGGUUUUUCCAUAAAUUGACUUAGGGUUCUCACAGCAAAAGUGAUAUCAGGCCUUGUUGUGUUUAAAUAUAUCAAUUUGCCAAUUAGCCUUCUAUAUCUGAAGGGAUCCUUUAACUUUUCAGUUUUAUCCUCUCUCCAAUCUUGUUUUUCAAUGGGUAUUUUGGAAGGUUUGCUUCCUAAAAGCCCAUUGUCAUUUAAAAUAUCUAAUGUAUAUUUUCUUUGAGAUAAAAAUAUUCCAUUAUCUGAAUAUGAUACUUCUAUACCUAGGAAAUAAUGUAAUUUUCCUAGAUCUUUUAAAUUGAAAUAUGAAUUUAGAUUGGUUUUUAGGAUUUUUAUUUCUUUUUCAUCAUUUCCUGUGAUGAUAAUAUCAUCCACAUAGAUGACCAUAUAUAUCACAUAGUCUUUGUUCUCUUUAAUGAACAAAGAAUAAUCUGAAAAUGUUUGUUUGAAAUUCAUUUUCAGAAGUGUCUCUUUUAGCUUGGCAAACCAUUGCCUAGAAGCUUGUUUAAGUCCAUAUAGGGACUUUUUUAAUUUGCAUACUCUUUGAUCUUCUUUUUUUAGAAAACCAGGUGGAGGUCUCAUGUAUACAUCUUCAUUUAGAUCUCCAUACAAAAAAGCAUUAUUUACAUCAAUUUGAUGUAAAUUUCACCUUUUUGUAGUAGCAAUAGUAAUUAAUAUUCUCACAGUGGUGAUUUUUGCCACUGGAGCAAAGGUUUGAUAAUAGUCAAAUCCCUCUAUUUGAGAAAACCCUUGAGCUACUAGUCUAGCUUUAUAUCUAUCUAUUUCUCCAUUUUGAUUAUAUUUUAUUUUGAAAAUCCAUUUUGAUCCAAUAGAUUUUCUUGUUGAUGGGAGAGAUACCAAAUCCCAUGUUUUGUUUAGUAAAAGAGCUUGCAUCUCUUUUUCCAUAGCUUCUACCCAUUUUGGAUUUUUUGAAGCUUCUAUAUAACUAUAAGGUUCUUGGAUCAUAGAUAUUUUCCUCAAAUAUUCUUUUUUCUUUUUAUUUAUCUUUUUGUAUGAUAUGUAUUUGUUUAAUGGAUGAUUAGUACUAAAAUUAGCACUAUCAUAAUCACUGUCAUCCAUAUAGUAGAAAUCUUUAUUUUUAAAAGAAGAUUUAAUUCUAUUUGAUCUUCUACAAUCUGUAUUGUUUGUUAUUUCAUCAGAGUUUAAUUUCUCUGAUUGUAUCUCAUUUUGAUCAUUUGACCCAGGGAAACUUAUUGCCCCAGGGGAGCUUUUGUUUAAAGAUGAAUUUUCUCCUGAGCUUAUUGCCCCAGGGGAGCUAUCUGGAAAAUUAUCUCCUGGAUUUAUUGACCCAGGGGAACUGUUAUUCUUGUCUGAAAAUGGAUUCUCAUUUUCUGAAAAUGAGUUCUCAUUCCUGCCUGGAUUUAUUGAUCCAGAGAAAACUCUAUCUGAAUAUAUACUUUUAUCUUCUGGAUUUAUUGAUCCAGGAGAAGUUUCAUUCCUGUCUGAAUUUAUUGAUUCAGAGGAGACUUUAUCUGAAAGUAUGCUUUUAUCUCUUGGAUUUAUUGAUCCAGAGGAGAUUCUAUCUGAAGCUAUACUUUCAUUUUCUGGAUUUAGUGAUCCAGAGGAGGUUUCAUCAUUGUCCAGAGCAUUCUUUGACUCUGUUGAGAUAGAAAUAUCAGAUUCAUUAUUGUUUAGAGUUUUAUUUAACUCUAGUGAUAUAUUAGUGUCUAGAAUUAUGUUUUGAUUAUUUGUGGAUGAUUCUAGAAUUAUAGAAUCUGAAUUUGUUUUAUUUGACAUUGCAUUUGACAAAUCAUCAUUAUUAGAUAAUUUUCUAUCCCUAUCUAUAAUGAUCUCAUCAUCUAAAAUAAAAACAGAAUUAUCAUUUGAUGCUGAAUUAUUUUUCAAUUUUGUAUUUUCUGUUUUUUUCUUUUGAGAUAGAUCAUCUUUAUUGAGAUUAUGAUUAUUUUCAUAUAUAUUUGAAAUGAAACUAUCAAAAGUACUUUUAUUUUGUUUAUUUUUCAGAUUUUUUUCUUUAAUUAUUCUAAAAGGAAAAACCAUUUCCUUGAAUACUACAUUUCUACUUAUAAUGAGCUUUUGAAGCUCAAUAUCUAAAAUUAUAUACCCUUUUGUACCUUGUGGGUAUCCUAAAAAAACUCCUCUUUUUGCUCUUUCAGAAAAUUUAUGUUCUCUAUUAUUGUUAUUAAAAUAACAAAGACAUCCAAUAGUCUUUGUUAAUGUAAUAUUAGGUUUUUUGUUGUUCAAAAUUUCAAAAGGUGUUUUAUUAUCUAAUGAUUUUGAACAAGUUCUAUUAAUUAUGUGAGCAGCCCCUAAAACACAAAAACCCCAAUAUUUAAUUGGGAGGGCAGCAUGUAGUUUUAUUGCUCUAGCAAUAUUUAGGAGAUCCUUAUGUUUUCUCUCAACUUUGCUAUUUUGUUGAGGAGAAUAUGGGCAGGAAAAUUGAUGGAUCAUACCAUUUUCCUUUAAUAAUGUGUUGAGUUUAAAAGAAGUGAACUCUAAACCAUUAUCACUUCUUAAAAUUUUAUAUUUAUAUUAAAUUGAGUUUUAACCAUUUUAAUGAAUAAAUUGAUUAUAUCCAGUACCUGAGUUUUAUUUUUCAUUAGAAAUACCCAAGUUGUUCUACUUUUAUCUUCUACUAUGGUUAGAAAAUAAUUAUUUUGAUCAUGUGUUGAUAUUGGGAAUUUGCCCCAAAUAUCAACAUGUAUCAAAUCAAAUAGAUUUUCACUUUGAGAUGAACUUUUAGGAUAUUUUAAUUUUUGUUGUUUGGCAAGAGGGCAUAUAUUACAGAAUGAAACAUCUUUAUUGAAUUCAGAGUUUUUUCUAAAAUUUAUGCUAUUACAAGAAUUAUUAGCUAACAAUUUCAGUUUAUCAUAUGACAUGUGCCCCAUCCUAGCAUGCCAUAGCUUUAUAUCUUGAGUGGCUCCACAAACAGCCUCUCUAUCAAACAUGUAAAUCCCAUUAUUUAUGUUACCCAGUCCAAUCAGAUCCUUGUUGUGAGGAUCCUGAAAAAAACAUUGUGACUCUUUUAAAAGUAUUGAUAUACCCAUAUCUUUAAUAAUCCUAUAUAAGGAAAUUAAGUUCAGUUUAAAAUCAGGGAUAUAAUAAACAUUUUUAAGAGUUAUAGUUGGAGAAAGCAUGAUUUCUCCUACUUAUUUUAUUAGAAAACAAGUUCCAUCAGGUAUUGAGACUCUUUUAAUUUUUUUAGAGUCUCUUAAGUUCCUAAAGAGUGUUUUAUUUCCACUCAUGUGCUGUGAAGCACCACUAUCACAAAUCCAUUCACAAUUAUUUGAAGAGUAAGCAUUACAUGCUAAUUUAUUUUAAAAAAAAUUACCUGUAUUUUUCAGGAAUAGAUUCUGCAUGAUUUUGUAUUCCUCCUCAGUAAUUGAAUGAGUUGCUGAACUUGCAUGUUCUGUUUUUGCUUUUUUAUUAUUGAACCCUUUGCUUGAAUCCGGAUAUCCAUUUAAAUGAAAACAUUUGUCCUUAGUGUGACCAUAGAACCAACAAUGAUCACAUCUUAAUUUCAGAUUUAAUUUCAUGCCUUUUUUACUCAUUUUAUACUUAUCUGAAUUAAAAUGUUCACUUCUAAAACCAGAAGAUCUUUUUACAGCCAUUGCAGUGUCUAUUUGUCCUAUAUCAGACUUAUAUUUGAUAUGAGUAACCCCUCUUUGUUUUUCCUCAGUUAUGACUGUUGAAUAAGCUGAAUCCAUAUUGGGAAUCUCUUUCCCAGUUAAUAUCUGACCUCUUACAUUUAGGAACUCUUCAUUUAAUCCAAGAAGGAAUUUAACUACCCUAUCUUGUUCAUUUUCCUCUUCCCAUAUCUGAAUUGCCCCACAAGUGCACACCCCACAAGUGCACAUCCCACAAGUGCAUCUUUUCUUUUUGCUUAUAUCUUGUAGGUUAUCCCAUAUGGCUUUUAAUUUUAUGUAAUAAUUAGAUACUGAUAAUUCCCCUUGAUAUAGAUUGGCUAAUUCUUGGCCAAUUAAAAACCUUAAGGGAGCUUGAGCUUGGCUAUAUCUAAUUUUCAAUAUUUCCCAAGCCUCACAUGCACUUUCAGCUGACCUAAUUGAGGCAGCUAUGCUUUUCUCACAUGCAUUUAUUAUCCACGAGAAUACUACCCCAUUGACAGUCUUCCAAGCCUCAAAUUCAUCUGAAUUUUCAUCUUUAGGCCUAAUAACUUUUCCAUUUAUAAAUUUCUGUUUUCUUCUAGUUACUAGCCAAAGAUUCAUAUCUUUUGACCAAGUAGGGUAAUUUGCUUGCCCUUUUAGUAACUCAUUUACAAUCUUAUUACUAGGGUUAUCACUAGAAUGUAAAAAGUAAACAGAUGACCUUGUUGUGAAGGCCGUUUCUAAAUCAAAAGGCUUCUUUUGAAUUUCAGUAGAUAUCUUGGGUGCUGAGACUUCAGUGGAUAUUUCCAUGUCACCAUUGAUCUCUUUUUCAGAUUCCAUGCUCUUGAAUAUCAGCAACAGCAGGCAACACUUCACUUCAACAGCAACACUUUACUUCAACAGCAACUCUUUACUGGAACAGCAACAGCGACGAAAAGAAUGGCAGGAACAGAUUGAUUACAACAGCGGAUUUCCUAGGAGCGACCGAUGAUACCAUAUGAAACGACGGCGAUCCGAUUCCGGCGACGAAACGUCACAGGGGAAGGAUCGCUGGCCGGCGGGAGAAGAAUUGGGGAAAGAAGAAAGCAACGGAAAUUAACGGAUCUUUGAAAAAAUGUAAAAAUAUCAAAGAUUAAAUUAUAUUAUCUUAUAUUUGAGUUUACAACUAUUAUUUAUAAGUUUUGUAAACUACUAAUUCU